rnacentral:rRNA from 1 species
CCUACGGGCGACAGCAGUGGGGAAUAUUGCGCAAUGGGCGAAAGCCUGACGCAGCGACGCCGCGUGAGGGAUGAAGGUCUUCGGAUCGUAAACCUCUGUCAGCAGGGAAGAACGGUCACUGUGCUAAUCAGCAGUGAAUUGACGGUACCUGCAAAGGAAGCACCGGCUAACUCCGUGCCAGCAGCCGCGGUAAUACGGAGGGUGCGAGCGUUAAUCGGAAUUACUGGGCGUAAAGCGCGCGUAGGUGGUAUGUCAAGUCAAGGGUGAAAUCCCCGCGCUCAACGUGGGAACUGCCUUUGAAACUGGCAGACUGGAGUGUGUGAGAGGAUAGUGGAAUUCCAGGUGUAGGAGUGAAAUCCGUAGAUAUCUGGAGGAACAUCAGUGGCGAAGGCGACUAUCUGGCACAUAACUGACGCUGAGGAGCGAAAGCGUGGGUAGCAAACAGGAUUAGAUACCCGGGUAGUC